rnacentral:rRNA from 1 species
UACGUAGGGUGCGAGCGUUAAUCGGAUUUACUGGGCGUAAAGCGUGCGCAGGCGGCCCGUUAAGACAGGUGUGAAAUCCCUGGGCUCAACCUAGGAAUUGCGCUUGUGACUGGCGGGCUCGAGUACGGUAGAGGGGGGUGGAAUUCCUGGUGUAGCAGUGAAAUGCGUAGAGAUCAGGAGGAACGCCGAUGGCGAAGGCAGCCCCCUGGGCCUGUACUGACGCUCAUGCACGAAAGCGUGGGGAGCAAACAGG